UUCAUUUGCGUAUACAGAAACUUAAAAUCUUCAGUGUCCAAAAACCCUUUCAACUAUUUUUUUCUUCCCUUUCUUAGAAACAGGAAGUUGUGUUUGGCUGAGGACAGACUCUUUCAAUGCCCCUGGGACUUACAAGAUGUUUGGAAUGAGGAACGAUCUGUUUUCUGAGUCCCUGGGCUGCAGCUGUUGAAUUUCCAGACACAAACAAGUAUGCGUCCUGUGAGCCUUGCCGAGCCCACACAGCCGGGGAGAGCCAAGCUGGAUUCCAUUCUGCUUUGCACAUCAGUGGCUCUGCUGCCAGCGAGCUCCGGGGCAAAAGCUGUGCCUGAUAACGAUGCAGGCGGUGUGGAUGGCACUGAUGGCCUGACUGCGCCCUCAGUGGGGGGACACACUUGGCCUGGAGUAUUUGGGGGCACAGUGAGAAAUGGAAGGGGAUAAAGAGCUGCAGAAACGUUCAUCGGCCUCAACAAAAUUGGUGCACAGCAAGGAAACAGUCUGGUUUUGCAAGUCAU